GAAGAGAGACUCAAUGGCCUGGCGC
rnacentral:piRNA from 1 species